AUUGAACGCUGGCGGCAUGCCUAACACAUGCAAGUCGAACGAGUGGCGGACGGGUGAGUAAUUUAUUGGCACCUGCCCAAUGGAGGGGGAUAACUACUGGAACCGGUGGCUAAUACCGCAUACCAUGGGAGCGGCCCACAUUGGAUUAGCUAGUUGGUGGGGUAAAGGCUCACCAAGGCGACGAUCCUUAGCUGGUCUGAGAGGAGGACCGUCCACACUGGGACUGAGACACGGCCCAGACUCCUACGGGAGGCAGCAGUGGGGAAUAUUGGACAAUGGGCGAAAGCCUGAUGCAGCCAUGCCGCGUGUAUGAAGAAGGCCUUCGGGUUGUAAAGUACUUUUGGCAGAGAAGCGGUAUCUGCAGAAGAAGCACCGGCUAACUACGUGCCAGCAGCCGCGGUAAUUC
rnacentral:rRNA from 1 species